rnacentral:rRNA from 1 species
UAGGGAAUCUUCGGCAAUGGACGGAAGUCUGACCGAGCAACGCCGCGUGAGUGAAGAAGGUAUUCGGAUCGUAAAGCUCUGUUGUUAGAGAAGAACGAUGGUAGGAGUGGAAAAUCUACCAAGUGACGGUAACUAACCAGAAAGGGACGGCUAACUACGUGCUAGCAGCCGCGGUAAUACGUAGGUCCCGAGCGUUGUCCGGAUUUAUUGGGCGUAAAGCGAGCGCAGGCGGUUCUUUAAGUCUGAAGUUAAAGGCAGUGGCUUAACCAUUGUACGCUUUGGAAACUGGAGUACUUGAGUGCAGAAGGGGAGAGUGGAAUUCCAUGUGUAGCAGUGAAAUACGUAGGUAUAUGGAGGAGCACCGGUGGCGAAAGCGGCUCUCUGGUCUGUAACUGACGCUGAGGCUCGAAAGCGUGGGGAUCAAACAGG